GCCUACGGGGCGCAGCAGUGAGGAAUAUUGGUCAAUGGGCGGGAGCCUGAACCAGCCAAGUCGCGUGAGGGAAGACGGUCCUAUGGAUUGUAAACCUCUUUAGGCGGGGAGCAAUGCCGGGCACGUGUGCCCGGAGGGAGAGUACCCGCAGAGUAAGCAUCGGCUAACUCCGUGCCAGCAGCCGCGGUAAUACGGAGGAUGCGAGCGUUAUCCGGAUUUACUGGGUGUAAAGGGCGUGUAGCCGGGUUGACAAGUCAGAUGUGAAAUCCUGCGGCUUAACCGCAGAACUGCAUUUGAAACUGUUG
rnacentral:rRNA from 1 species